rnacentral:rRNA from 1 species
GAUGAACGCUGGCGGCGUGCCUAAUACAUGCAAGUCGAGCGAACGGACGAGAAGCUUGCUUCUCUGAUGUUAGCGGCGGACGGGUGAGUAACACGUGGAUAACCUACCUAUAAGACUGGGAUAACUUCGGAAACCGGAGCUUAUACCGGAUAAUAUUUUGAACCGCCUGGUUUAAAAAUGAAAGAAGGUCUUGCUGUUACUUAUUGAUGGAUCCGCGCUGCAUUAGCUAGUUGGUAAGGUAACGGCUUACCAAGGCAACGAUGCAUAGCCGACCUGAGAGGGUGAUCGGCCACACUGGAACUGAGACACGGUCCAGACUCCUACGGGAGGCAGCAGUAGGGAAUCUUCCGCAAUGGGCGAAAGCCUGACGGAGCAACGCCGCGUGAGUGAUGAAGGUCUUCGGAUCGUAAAACUCUGUUAUUAGGGAAGAACAUAUGUGUAAGUAACUGUGCACAUCUUGACGGUACCUAAUCAGAAAGCCACGGCUAACUACGUG